rnacentral:rRNA from 1 species
UACAGAGGCCUCGAGCGUUAGGCGGAAUCACUGGGCUUAAAGCGUGUGUAGGCGGAUGUCUAAGUGCCUUGUGAAAUCCCACGGCUUACCCGUGGAACGGCUGGGCAUACUGGAUGUCUUGAGCCUUCUAGGGGCUACCGGAACAAAUGGUGGAGCGGUGAAAUGCGUAGAUAUCAUUUGGAACGCCAAUGGUGAAAACAGGUAGCUGGGGAAGUGCUGACGCUGAGACACGAAAGCCAGGGUAGCGAACGGG